GCUGGAGAGAUGGCUCAGUGGUUAAGAGCACUGACUGCUCUUCCUAAGGUCCUGAGUUCAAAUCCCAGCAACCACAUGGUGGCUCAUAGCUAUCCAUAAUGAGAUCUGAUGCCCUCUUCUGGUGUGUCUGAAGACAGCUACAGUGUCUUACAUAUAACAAUAAAUAAAUCUUUAAAAAAAAAUAGGUUUGCCAGGGCUAAAGAGAUGGCUCAGUGGUUAAGAGCACUGACUGCUCUUCCAGAGAUCAUGAGUUCAAUUCCCGGCAACCACAUGGUGGCUCACAACCCUCUGUAAUGGAAUCUGAUGCCUUCUUCUGGUGCACCUGAAGAUAGCUACAGUGUACUUACAUACUGUACAUUAAAUAAAUAAAUAAAUAAAUGAUCCAAAAUGCUACUGUUAAGAAAGUGUACUCUUAGGCCGGGCAGUGGUGGCGCACACCUCUAACCCCAGCACUUGGGAGGCAGAGGCAGGCGGAUUUCUGAGUUCCAGGACAGCCAGGGC
rnacentral:lncRNA from 1 species